CCUACGGGAGGCAGCAGUGUGGAAUAUUGGACAAUGGGGGGAACCCUGAUCCAGCCAUGCCGCGUGUGUGAAGAAGGCCCUCGGGUUGUAAAGCACUUUCAGUGAGGAAGAACGCCUGGUGGUUAAUACCCAUCAGGAAAGACAUCACUCACAGAAGAAGCACCGGCUAACUCCGUGCCAGCAGCCGCGGUAAUACGGAGGGUGCGAGCGUUAAUCGGAAUUACUGGGCGUAAAGCGCGCGUAGGUGGCUUGAUAAGCCGGUUGUGAAAGCCCCGGGCUCAACCUGGGAACGGCAUCCGGAACUGUCAAGCUAGAGUGCAGGAGAGGAAGGUAGAAUUCCCGGUGUAGCGGUGAAAUGCGUAGAGAUCGGGAGGAAUACCAGUGGCGAAGGCGGCCUUCUGGACUGACACUGACACUGAGGUGCGAAAGCGUGGGUAGCAAACAGGAUUAGAUACCCCAGUAGUC
rnacentral:rRNA from 1 species